rnacentral:ncRNA from 1 species
AUAAAGACUAUGAUAGGGAAGAGUAAAUGGUAAAAUAUUUUAAAGAGAAUGGGGAUAGGUGAAAGCCCAUAAAUUGGAUACUAUUGAAAAUCACCCUGGAGUUGUUAAACUGAACUUAUAGUAAGUUUUGCCGGCAGAGCCGUUAAUUAGAUUAAGUAAAAAAAUUGGGUGGUACCGCGGACCAAACUUCUCGCCCCAUAG